GAUGAACGCUGGCGGCGUGCCUAAUACAUGCAAGUCAAGCGAACAGACGAGGAGCUUUCUCCUCUGACGUUAGCGGCGGACGGGUGAGUAACACGUGGAUAACCUACCUAUAAGACUGGGAUAACUUCGGGGAACCGGAGCUAAUACCGGAUAAUAUAUUGAACCGCAUGGUUCAAUAGUGAAAGACGGUUUUGCUGUCACUUAUAGAUGGAUCCGCGCCGCAUUAGCUAGUUGGUAAGGUAACGGCUUACCAAGGCAACGAUGCGUAGCCGACCUGAGAGGGUGAUCGGCCACACUGGAACUGAGACACGGUCCAGACUCCUACGGGAGGCAGCAGUAGGGAAUCUUCCGCAAAGGGCGAAAGCCUGACGGAGCAACGCCGCGUGAGUGAUGAAGGUCUUCGGAUCGUAAAACUCUGUUAUUAGGGAAGAACAAAUGUGUAAGUAACUAUGCACGUCUUGACGGUACCUAAUCAGAAAGCCACGGCUAACUACGUG
rnacentral:rRNA from 1 species